rnacentral:rRNA from 1 species
AACGCGAAGAACCUUACCAGGAUUCGACAUGCCCUCUAUGGAUUCCCGAAAAGGAAUCCUUCACUUCGGGUGGGAGGAGCACAGGUGCUGCAUGGCUGUCGUCAGCUCGUGUCGUGAGAUGUUGGGUUAAGUCCCGCAACGAGCGCAACCCUCGUCCUCUGUUGCUAACAGGUUAGGCUGAGCACUCUGAGGAAACUGCCGGUGAUAAGCCGGAGGAAGGUGGGGAUGACGUCAAGUCCUCAUGGCCCUUACAUCCUGGGCUACACACGUGUUACAAUGGUGGUGACAAUGGGUCGCGAUCCCGCAAGGGCUAGCUAAUCCCCAAAAGCCACCUCAGUUCGGAUUGCACUCUGCAACUCGAGUGCAUGAAGCUGGAAUCGCUAGUAAUCGCGGAUCAGCACGCCGCGGUGAAUACGUUCCCGGGCCUUGUACACACCGGCUAC